rnacentral:pre_miRNA from 1 species
UCUUAUAGAUGAGCAAAGAAAGUAGUUUCUUAAAAUGAAAUGAAAUCUACUUCUGAUGAAGAUGCUAUGAA